rnacentral:lncRNA from 1 species
CUCUAUUGACGAGCAUAAAUCCUAACACAAUCUUUCUCACCCUGUCAAUUGAUUAAGAAGUAAGGGCCUUUUAUAGAGAUCAACUAGGGCAGCAGAAAUGAGUCAAGUUAUUUGUCCUUUACUCAUUUUCACAUAUUUUAGCUACUUAAUCCCUUAUUCAAAAUUUUGUUUGCUAGGUCAGUCUUAAACCCACCUUCCUAGCAGCUUCCUAAAUCAGUUACUGAAGAUUUACUAAACUAAAAUCCCUAAAUUAUCCUUAAAACCCCAGUAUUUACCCUUCAAUUAUAAACGUGGGUUAAGUUAAACCAAAAUCCAAAUGAACCAACCUUUUGACUAGGUCAGAGGUGACCAUAGUUAAUAUGAGAAGAUUGAACACUCAGGACUGAUUAAAUGAACUCACAGAAAGAGGAAUAAAUCCAAAAAUAGAGGGCAACUCAAACACUUCAGAUUUUAGGUAUGAACUAAAUUUAGCUAAUCAAACUCAGAAUUGAACUCGACUACUAAAGAUAAUCAGUCAAAAGAAAAAAGCAAAUAAAAACAAAACAAACGAAAGUAGAAAAAUACUACGAUGCAUAAAAUUAGUGAGGAAAUGGAGGGGAAAAAUACCAAACAUGCCGGAAUAUCUUGACGACAUGAAACAUGUCGAUGGGAGUGAUCAAUUUGACCGGAAUCUGAUGAACUCGUGAAACUCUGACAUCCUUGGAAUGAAUUAAAAUCAAUGCUAAUUGAUUACUCUUGUUAAGGGCAAUUGACCAGUAUAUAUUAUAGUUCAAAACAAGUCUGGCCUUGUGUGGAAUCAGAAGAAAAAGAAGAUUAGGGCUUGAAUUUUCUUAGAUUUGGAAUUGGGGAAGUCUUGUUAGGGUUUUCAGGAAAUAGGUAUGUGGAUAAAUUUUUGGGACGUUUUGGGGAUUACCUGAUAUGAGUUUAGAUAGAUUAGGGUUUGAAGGUCCAAACUUCAAUCAAGGAUUCGACGAGUUCCAUGAUGAUUCGAAAGAAAUGGGUGAUUGAUUCGUUAUGACUGGAUGAAGGAGGGUGCUAUGGUGUAAAUUUGUUGUGAAUUGGAGGUCAACCAUCGUCGCUAGCGAUUUUCGGUGGGGCGGCGAAUGGUGGUGAGAGGAGGGUGUGAUGGAGAAAACGGAACCAGAUCAAGGUUAGUGUUUUAAGGUUUUUCAAAUAAUCUUAUGUGAUUACAGUGAGGCUUCUCUAGCCGUUUGGUGAAA